GUCUUGAUAGCUCAGUUGGGAGAGCGUACGCCUGAAGUUAUUCUUCAGGUUCAUCCAGCGUAAGGUCCCUGGUUCGAGCCCGGGUCAGGACA